rnacentral:rRNA from 1 species
GCCCCAGUAACGGCGAGUGAAGCGGCAACAGCUCAAAUUUGAAAUCUGGCCCCUUUUCGGGGUCCGAGUUGUAAUUUGCAGAGGGUGCUUUGGCGUAGGCGGCGGUCUAAGUUCCUUGGAACAGGACAUCGCAGAGGGUGAGAAUCCCGUAUGUGGGCGCCUGCCUUUGCCGUGUAAAGCCCCUUCGACGAGUCGAGUUGUUUGGGAAUGCAGCUCUAAAUGGGAGGUAAAUUUCUUCUAAAGCUAAAUACCGGCCAGAGACCGAUAGCGCACAAGUAGAGUGAUCGAAAGAUGAAAAGUACUUUGGAAAGAGAGUCAAAAAGCACGUGAAAUUGUUGAAAGGGAAGCGCUUGCAGCCAGACGUGCCCGUAGUUGCUCACCCAGGCUCUUGCCCGGGGCACUCUUCUGCGGGCAGGCCAGCAUCAGUUUGGGCGGUUGGACAAAGGCCUCUGUCACGUAUCUCUCUUCGGGGAGACCUUAUAGGGGAGGCGCAAUGCAACCAGCCCGGACUGAGGUCCGCGCAUCUGCUAGGAUGCUGGCGUAAUGGCUGUAAGCGGCCCGUCUUGAAACACGGACCAAGGAGUCUAACAUCUAUGCGAGUGUUUGGGUGUCAAGCCCGGGCGCGCAAUGAAAGUGAACGGAGGUGGGAACCUUCCGGGGUGCACCAUCGACCGAUCCUGAAGUCUUCGGAUGGAUUUGAGUACGAGCAUAGCUGUUGG